CCUACGCGAGGCAGCAGUGAGGAAUAUUGGUCAAUGGGCGCGAGCCUGAACCAGCCACGUAGCGUGAAGGAUGACUGCCCUACGGGUUGUAAACUUCUUUUAUAAAGGAAUAAAGUGAGGCACGUGUGCCUUAUUGCAUGUACUUUAUUAAUAAGGAUCGGCUAACUCCGUGCCAGCAGCCGCGGUAAUACGGAGGAUCCGAGCGUUAUCCGGAUUUAUUGGGUUUAAAGGGAGCGUAGAUGGGUUGUUAAGUCAGUUGUGAAAGUUUGUGGCUCAACCGUAAAAUUGCAAUUGAUACUGGCAGUCUUGAGUACAGUUGAGGUAGGCGGAAUUCGUGGUGUAGCGGUGAAAUGCUUAGAUAUCACGAAGAACCCCGAUUGCGAAGGCAGCUUACUAAACUGUGACUGACAUUGAUGCUCGAAAGUGUGGGUAGCAAACAGGAUUAGAUACCCUGGUAGUC
rnacentral:rRNA from 1 species